rnacentral:tRNA from 1 species
GCGGUUGUGUUGGAAUUGGUUUACAAAUAAGACUUAAAAUCUUAGGAAGCAAUUGCUUCAUGCGAGUUCAAAUCUCGCCUUCCGCA